AAUUCUCAACCUAUCAGCUUUUCACAAAGUUGGUAAGGCUUGGAUGUGGAGGUUUUGCCGGCUUUCUAAAAGUCAGCUCCUCUGAAAUGCAUUAGCGGUACCCGUGUGGAAUCGUCUAUUGGUGUGAUAAUAUCUACGCCGUGGGCAUCUGCAUUAUAAAUGGGUUAUGCUGCUUAUAACCGUCCUUAUAUGGACAACUUAUGACA
rnacentral:misc_RNA from 1 species